UUCCACGUGUUGCCGCAAAAAUCAUGGGGUGCUCCUGCACUAAACGGAAACCAGGCCCCCGCCUCUGAAGGCUUGGUAUACCCCAUGCAGCAAGUGGCUUUGCCUUUGCUAGUCCAGGAACACUCCUGCAAAGGAAAUGCCCCUCAGCUCCCCCUUGUUCCGAUGGACAAUAAUGAAGGAAUAACUUACUUCUGGAUGGGUGAGAUGUGCUCCUGCUUUCCCUUGCACUACUUUUGUAGCUCGCCUAUACUGACUGGCACGGUGACUCUAACCUGGCUCUAACUGCACCGGCUUCACAGAAAGAAGAAUGAGAGGCUACAAUGCAGAGAGACUUGGCUCAGGUCAGAAGAGCUCUGUUCACACAUGAAGUCCCACCAGGGCAGAUGUACCCACCAUGUGCUCACCGCUUCCCCUGGAGCAACUUGAUUCCAAAGGACAUUGAGAGACCAGGCAUGUUUGCUCAGACGGAGUGCAGUCCCGUAUGGAUUUAUAACCUCAGAUAACAAUCAGCUUGCAGAUCUCUGAACUAUUCUGUUGUGUGUUACUUGACAUGCCUGUGCGUCUGCUCCUUUUUUAAAGCAGAAGUAUUAAUGGUGUUCCUCCACAAACUUGUGAAAAUAGACAUUCAUAAUCUCAGUGUUCAAGCGGUGUGCUCAUAUCUGUUAGCUUCCGUGAGAUGGUUCCUAUACUUAAGUUUAAGCCUGUGUUUAACUGUUUGAAAAAUCUUUUGGUUUCAAUUAAAGUAUCAUUUGCAUUUCCAUGAUACUGUCCCUAGAUCAUCAGUUCCCAAACUUCUUACAUCUCAAAAUUCUUACGUCCCGGAUUACUCUCUGUCAUCACCGUUUCUUUGCAGAGCACUAUCCGUGUUUACCAUUACACUCCUAACUGAAAUAGCUGCCGAUACUACGCUUCAGUAAACCAACUGCCUCGUGCCAUCACAUCUUCCUUGUUAAGCAUUACUGUUAAUUCGACUCCUCAAAAAACAGGUGUUGAAAAGAAUGCCAGGUUGCCUUUCACUACAUUAAAUACAUUCCUUUAUCUUCCUUAGAAGUGGCUUCUGUAUUAUAUGUUGUUUUCUUGCCUUUUAAAAUAACAGAUAUAAGGUUGUGAAUGUUGUCAUGAGUGGUUUCCUCAUGGGUUCUUUAGUUUCCUGGAGCUGCUGGUCUCCUGUUGUAAAAUGCUAAAAUCUAGAUGCUUUGCCUGCACAGGCUCUAAUGGGUCUGAGCGUGGUUUGUGUAACAGUGUGAUAAACAGGCUAAUAAGCAGAAAA